rnacentral:rRNA from 1 species
UACGUAGGUGGCAAGCGUUGUCCGGAUUUACUGGGCGUAAAGAGCGCGCAGGCGGUCGUUCAAGUCGCGUGUGAAAGCCCCCGGCUCAACUGGGGAGGGUCACGCGAUACUGAUCGACUCGAAGGCAGGAGAGGGUAGUGGAAUUCCCGGUGUAGUGGUGAAAUGCGUAGAUAUCGGGAGGAACACCAGUGGCGAAGGCGACUACCUGGCCUGUUCUUGACGCUGAGGUGCGAAAGCGUGGGGAGCAAACAGG